UUUUUUUCUUUUUUUUUUAAUGGCCACGCCUUAUAGCACAUGGAAUUUCCCAGGCUAGGAGUUGAAUUGAAGCCACAUCUGUGACCUACACCACAGUUUGCAGCAAUGCCAGGUCACAAACCCACUGAGAAAGGCCAGGGAUUGAACCUGAAUCCUCACGGAGACAAUGCUGUGUUCUUAACCCACUGAUCCACAACAGGAACUCCCUGGUUUGUUUUUUAACUUGUAAAAUAGAACAAGAUUUUGAAUUUACUAUGGCAAGUAGACUCUAGAACUAUAUAGAGAGUAGUAUAGAGCAGGUGCUCAAUAAACCUUUUCUCUAUCACUAUCAUGCUAUCCUCUCCACCCUCCCACAGAAAAAAGAGCAACAUAAAAACAAAACCAAGUUUUGGAAAUGCUAUAAAAUUUGGUUGUGAUGAUCACUGUACAACUAUAAAUGUAAUAAAAUUCGUUGAGUAAAAAUUAAAAAUAAUAAUAAUAAAGUAAGGUACUCUAAAAUGGAAAAAAAAAAAACUAAGUUACAUAACAGCUGGUAAGAAUUUUAAAGGAAAAAUCGCUUUUGUUACAUGGUUUUGUAACCAAGUGUCUUUACUGAGUACUGCAGUUUUUUCAUUUGAAAGAAAGCCAUCAAAUAUGUUUUCAAUUGAAACAUAUUUUCAAAAUAUUUAUGGGCUUUUAAAUUAAGUUUUAAAAUGAGAGGGAAUUGUGUCACAAUUUGAUUUUACAAAAUGGAAUAUUUCUCCCUAUGCUAAUUCAUUGGCACCACGGCUCAUCAUUGUUACAAAAACAAUUUUUAAAUACUUACACAUAUAGGAUUCUUUCCGAAACUGUAAGAAAUGAUGAGAUUCUAGAAUUUAACACAAACAUCUCUAAUUCACACUUAACAUCUCACUAGUAAACUUUGAAAAGAAUUACAGUUUUCAACAUUUCUUUCCUCUUUUACAGAGAGGACAUGAUUUAAUUUUAACUGCUCAGCAAUGGGCUCAUAGUGGCUCAGAGCAUCAGACUCUUCACAGUAGUCUUUCUGGAGAAUAAUAGGUUAGAGAUAGUUUCUAGCAGACCAGAUGCAUCUACAUAAAUGUCUCCCAUUUUACAUUUGCUGGAUCUUCCAGGAGGACCCAACUUAAUAUUUCUCAUUUAAAAAAAAUAUCCAUUUUCACUCCCUUAAUAAACCUUUUCAGACAUUUUUCCCUAACCACUGCCUCCCCCCAUAAAAUUUUAAUACCACAUGUAUACAACUUUACUCUUCGGGUACUAUAUGUUUGUUUAUCUGUGCUUUUCAAAACUUUUUUUCCAGCUUAAUUAAGAUAUAAUUAAAACAUAGUCCUGUGCAAGUUUAGGAUGUGCAAUGUAUUGGAGUUCCCACUAUGGUGCAGUGGGGUAAGGAUCCAGUGUUGCCACAGCUGUGGUGUAGGUUGCAGCUGCAGCUUGGAUUCAAUCCCUGGCCUGAGAACUUCCAUAUGCCAUGGGUGCAGCCAAAAAAAGGAAGAAAGAAGCUGUACAAUGUAUUGAUUUGAUACACUUACAUAUUGUGACUUGAUUACCAACAAUAGCUUUGGGGUUAUUAAUAUUUGUUGGCAGGCUUUACAUCAGAUGCCCGAGAACCUGUUCACUCAUCUCAUAACUGCAAGUCCAAGCUCUUCACUAACAACUCCCAUCCCCUUCCCCCACUGCUGCCCUCAGUCACUAUGAGUUUCGAUCUUCUGCAUUUCAGGUGUAAGAGGCAUUUUACAGUAUUAGUGUUCCUUUAUUGAUUUAGCUCUCUUAGCAUAAUGCUCUCAAGGUCAGUCUGUACUUUCACAAAUGGCAGGAUUUCCUUCUGCCUUCUGGCUGAAUAAUAAUGGAUACCACAUCCUUAUCCAUUCAUCCAUUGAGGGCCACGUGGCCUCUCUCCAUGUCCUGGCCAUUGGGAUUAAUUCAGCCAUGAAUAUUGGGACAGGAAUACCUCUUUGAUAUCUUAUUUCAUGCCCUUUGGAUACACAUCAAAAAUUGGGAUUAGUGUAUCACAUGGUAGUUCCAUUUUUGAUUGUUUGAGGACCUCCAACACUGUUUUCCAUAGCAGUUGAACCAAUUUAGAUUCCCACCAAUAGUGUGUAAGAUUUAGCAGGAAGACAAUCUUACUUUUUAUGCAUAAAGUAUAUAUAGACAUAUUCUAAAAAAGAGAACCCUUGUGUAUCUGUGCUUUGAAUAUAAAAAUUAUUUUUUAAAUCUUUACUCUACUAUUCCAAACCUACCCAGUUUUAGGGGUCCUAUCAUUUCCAUACUUGCCCUCACUGCUUUCCUCUAACAAAGGUGAAGGUGACUUUUAUUGUGUGUAAAUGCUAAGAGAAUAGAGAGGGAACCUAAUGUCUGCUAGAGUUUAGUGCCUACCACUCCACAGAGACUGGGAGGUGGGGGCUGUACUUCCCUUGACAAAGAUCCUUUGGAAAAACACCCCUGGGCUGUAAAACUGGCAAGAGGUUUCUAGCAAGAUUCACAUCUCAAAGAAGCAGGAAAAGGAUUGACCAGUUUAUUCAGCCUGAGGAGAUGAUUAAGGCCACCUUGGUCAUAUUCAAUCCCUUAACAUAACCAGAAAUCUUACCUAAGAAAAUAACUUCCCCUUUUCAUCUCCUGUUUACUAUCAUACUUUUCAUCAUUACCCCAGCUUGUAUAAUAUGAUAAAAUUUUCUUUUAUUGUUUUUUUCUACAGUGAUGCAUUUUCAGUAUUGCAAUCUCCUAUAUUGCUUUCUAGAAGAUUCUACCUUCUCUCAGCUUAAAAAAACAAUCAGGAUCAUAAUGCAGUAUAAUGGAAUAUUACUGGAUAAAAUAAUUACUAAAUAUGGAAACAAUCAAGACACUCAAAAUACAAGCAAGAAGAUUUAAAAAUGUUAUACCUGAAAGUACCAAUGCACUAACAGAACUUGGAUGAUACUUUAUUACAUAUAAUAUCUUUCAAUAGUGAGGAGAUUUGCCAUUUAAUCAGGGGCUAGGCUAUGGUGAGUUAAGAGAACAGCUCAAAUAUUUUUAGUGGUUCUAGAAAGAAAAUGAACAUAUACACAAAAUAUUACUGUUUAUUUUUAAUUUUGUGAUUUUUGCCCAAAAUAAAUAUUUUGUGCCUUGUAGCUAGAUACAAAGAAAUGGAUAUUGUUAAUGAUUUGCCCCAUAAGUAGUCUGGACUUUAAUUUGAUUUCCCUAAAGAAAAGCUAUAAGUGCAAAUACACUUAGGAUUAUGCCCAAAUCUUGAAAAUUGCACGGUUAACUGCAAUGCCAAGAUAAUAAAAAUCAUACAUCAGGUUUUUUUUUCAUAUUUUUCUCCUUUUAGUUUUCUUUUUAAAUUCUUAAUUCUGUCUAACUAGGGCCUGGGGAGGAAGAAAAGAAAAUUUUCUUUACACAGGCCUGCAUCUCUCACUCCAGCCUAAGCAACUGGCCUUUGGGGGCUGGUGGGGAAGGGGUGGUCUACACACCCUGGCGUCUCAAUUAAAAUCCCUGAAAAAUCAGGGAGUUGCUUAAACCUUGCCUUGUGUGUGGAAGAUAUCAAUUGGUGCACUAGUUUCUCUCUCUACAUGAUCUGUUAACUCUAAAUGCCAAUGGAAAGAGGGAAGUGUUGCUUCUUACAGUUAAAACCUAAGGCAGCUUCCUGCCUCUGACUUGUAUUCUGGCUUUCUGCCAUGAGGUAGAAGCUGAGUUUACAGAUUUGAAUCAUUGAUACAACACUUCAGAUUUGCUCUGUUGUCCUAAUUCAUCCCCCAGAUGUUUCCUUCUUCUUCUUCUAGAUUCCAUCCAAGAAACAUCCCUAAAAAUCUAUUUAUAUGGUAGUUUUUAUUUGGCAUACAAGUAAUUUCUCUUCGGAAUUUUAAAUGUGGGGUUUCAAGAUAACAUUUUGUUAUAUCUUGUCUUAAAUGUGCCUUUAUUGUGUUGAAUGAAUUAAUCAUUGGGUUUCUAUGGAGGAAACUGGAGCAGGGGCAUGUGGGGGAAAACAUGAAACAAGCAGAAGAUUCAAAUAUUUAGAUAUGAGGCAUCAUGACAACUGUUUAAAGCAAUGCAUUUUUUCAUCCGUGGCUUAAAAACAUGAAUUUUUCCUCUUCAUAUAAAAAGCAUCUUAUUAAUCAAGUGAGUUUCUUUUCUUUCUUAUACUCUAAUGUUAAUAUAAUUACAACUAUAUGAUCUUCAAAACUAUGUAUGUGUAUGUGCACAUGUGUGUGUAUUUUUCAAAGGCCUUAGGUUCUUGAGUUACAUAUUAUGCAAAUGCUGGUUCUCAACCGAUGCUGACAUCCUGCCAGGCAAUGGUAGUGGAAGGAACUGUACAAAUGAAGAAGGGGAUUAGGAACUUCAGAAGAGUGAUGACAGUGAAGGGUGGUGUGGCCAAUGAGAUAAAGAUAAACUGCUGUGGUGGAAAUUAUAUGACUAAAGAGAUAAGAGUUCUCACUUAGAGCUGGGCAUCUGAAUCCAUGAUCUGGGACAUGAUGCAGUUAUGGUUCAUGACAAGGUCCAAGAGGAAGUGGGUCAUGACAAGGUCCAGAAGGAAACUACAGGAGUAAAUGGCUGAGGUGUGGAAGAGAAGUCAGGUCUGCUUUAACAGAGUCUAUUUGUUGAAAAUGAGCAUUUUCUAACUGAAUGUCUCUAAUCUUCUAUAAAUCUCUAGAGAGAUAAUUAUGUUUCAGUAUUAGCCAUUAAGGUAUAAACUGAAGAAAGAAAUGCUAAAAAGUAAAGGUACAUAACAUCUGCUUUCUAAAUCAUUUGACUGAUGGUCAUGGAACAAAGAGUAUCAUGACAGUGGUCUCCAUGGCAAUAAAAGUGAAGGAAGAAUGUUUAAUGCUUUGCAUUCAAAAAACUGUUUUCCAUUGCUAUCUCACAAAGUAACCAUUUCAUCUGCCUUUAACGUUUAUAACUUGACAUCAUGAAUUCAUAACUCAAUUUAUUGGCAAUGGAUAAAUGUUGCUCACAGAAAAUUCAAGACCACAUCUAGUGCUCAGAUGUUGGUUUCAUUCUCCAAUAAAAGGAACCAUGCAUGGUUCCUUAGAGAAAUGGCUGAUUCUAGGAUGAGGGCACAACAUGCACAAGAGGAGCCUGAAACAUUUGUACUGGCAGCAAGUAAGGAAGAAUCCCAAAGCAACAAAACAAAAAUAAAAACCUGCAUUAAUGGGGUAUGUCACAAGACAGUAGCCAGCUGAAAAAGCUCCCAAUGGCUUAAGCUGGAACAAUGAGAGCAAAUAAAAUAAAAUAAAGAAAUAUUAGACUUUAAUCCAAAGUAUAAAUAAAAUAAACAUCCUUGAAUCCACAUUGAUUAAAAGAGAGAGAAAAGACAACUCUCCAGGGCAGAAGAAUAAAAAGUCAUUUAUGUAGACACUGCCCUCAGGAUGUGACCAUAAUCCUGAGUCCCCCAGGUCAGCAGUGCUUGGGACUUACUUCCCAGGAGUGCAGGAGAGAGAGAGAAACCGUGCAGUAGAGAAACCUGACAAGCAUCACCUCUGCCAGGAGACCAAGGUCAAUAGCAACAAAGAUACAUCAGAUAGAGAGAGAUGCCAACGUAUUAUGAAAAUGGCACUUUGCCUCUGAGCCCUUCUCCCCAAAUCCCCUUUCCUCGACUAAUCGUAAGAAAAAUAUCAGACAAAUCCCUAAUGAGGGACAUUCUACAAAAUCCCCUACUGGUACUUCCCAAAAACUGCCAAGGCCAUCCAAAGCAAGGAAAACCUGAGAAACUGUCCCCAGCAAGAGGAUCCAAGGAGACAGCAUGGCUAAAUGUAAAGUAGCAUCCUGGGUGGGAUCCUGUGACCAAAAAGAGAACACUGCAGGAAAAGCAAGGAAAGUAUCUUUAGGAAAUAACAGCAUAUUUAUUGACUCAGUUUAUUAAUGGCUAAUGAGAGAUGAUAAUAAUUGGGAAAAAUCAAUCACGCAGUAUAUGAGAACUCUCUAUUAUCUCUGCAAUUCUCUUUAAAUCUAAAAUUGCUCCAAAAAAGAAAAGUUUAUUUAAAUUUAUUUUUUCAGAACUACUGCAUGGCCUGCUAACUUCUAUUAAGUAUUCAACUAUUAUCAUUUAAUUUCAUCUUCUUUAAUUUUCCUCUGUGCAAGAGUGAUUCAUGAACAUAUAGCCAAGAUUUCUCUUCUAAAAAUAUUAUGGAGCUAUGAUAGUUUAAUAAAAGAUUUCACUUUAAUUAAAUUAGAAGGAAAAACUUUACCUCUUUUUUUAGUUCCCUCCCAGGAGGGAACACUGUGCUACCUUUCAGCCUGACUUCCUGAGGGCCUCUUCCUCAUUGAUGGAUUGGCUGUACUCAAGGAACCUUGGAAGUCAAAACCUGCCAGAGCAAAGUUCAUUUACAUGCCAAUACUGUUUUUCCUUUAAGUAGGAAGCUGUUAAUGAAGCCUUAAGAAGGAAGCUCUCACUUUCUAUGCUUAUUGAGAAGACUUUGGCAUCUUUUCUGAAUCGACUUGAUAACCAUUAUCAAGGGAAAAGCCAGCAUACAGUGAGGAAAAUAUGAAAACCAUUUUCAGGAAAGACAUGACCAAAUUGAUUUGAGAUGUUAAUAACACAAUCAGUCAUCAAGUGCAUAUUAUCUACAAUCAAAAUGUAGUUUUAGCAUCUGUCACUUCAUUGACCCACUUGGUAGAUAUGUCCCCUUACCCUACUACUUUUCAGGUCCUCCACCAGCUACAAUAUGGGGCUUGACAUGACAGAGGGUUAAUAAGCGUAUCCCCAGCAUUAUCAGGGUCACAACAAGUCAAUGAAUAAAUAGUUUUCUUUUUCUUUGUUUCUAACUGAAAAGGUAAAAACAAAACAAGCAACAAAGACACAAACCAAAAGAUGAGUGUCAGAAUGACUCAGAUCACAGGUUCGUAAGGAUAUCAGGAAAAACAAACAGAAAGGUUACUGUGGGCUCAGGUAACCUGCAAACCCUUCCUGGAGGAAAUGGAAAUUGUUUUCUCUUGGAGAGCAAAGAGGAAGAAAGGGCCGGCCCGCUGGCAUGCCCACGUAACGAUGUCCUCAGAGAGUCUAGAAAAGAGUGGGCUGGUCAGCCUGAUUCCAGUUACGCAUGCUGUUAGGAAAUGAGGAGAAACACUGGACAGAAUAAAAAGAAACAUGAAAAGGGACUUGACAGCAAGACUAGGAGAGUUGGUUUUUUAACUUCAGUGUGUUUUGAGUAGGCAACAAGAUGACAGAGACAGGUUUGUUUUGUUUGUUGCUUUUUAGGGCUGCACCCAUGGCACAUAGAAGUUCCCAGGCGAGGGGUCAACUGGAACUACAGCUUCUGGCCUACAC
rnacentral:lncRNA from 1 species